rnacentral:lncRNA from 1 species
AUUGUGUACCCUCUCCCCGCUUUGUAUCCCUGCCCUGAGGGCCUCACAGCCAGAUCUCCUGAGAGCAGAGUGAAGAGGAAGCUCAGUAUUUCUCAGGCAGGCCAGCAGGUCGGAAGUGAUUGGGGUCUUUGCCACUCCUGCCCCAUUCAUUGGCAGCCUGAUCGGCUCAGACAAAUACUUCCAUGCUCGGGGGAACUAUGAUGCUGCCAAAAGGGGACCUGGGGGUGCCUGGGCCGUGGUGCGGAGGACUCGCUGGCCGAUCAGGCUGCCAAUAAAUGGGGCAGGAAGUGGCAAAGACCCCAAUCACUUCCGACCUGCUGGCCUGCCAGAGAAAUACUGAGCUUCCUUUUCAAUCUGCUCUCAGGAGACCUGGCUGUGAGCCCC